GAUGAACGCUAGCGGCAGGCUUAACACAUGCAAGUCGAGGGGCAGCACGUCUUCGGAUGGUGGCGACCGGCGCACGGGUGAGUAACGCGUAUGCAAUCUACCUUUUACAGGGGCAUAGCCCGGGGAAACCCGGAUUAAUAUCCUAUAGUACCAUUAUAUAGCAUUAUAUUAUGGUUAAAGUUUCGGCGGUAAAAGAUGAGCAUGCGUCCUAUUAGCUUGAUGGUAAGGUAACGGCUUACCAUGGCUAUGAUAGGUAGGGGUCCUGAGAGGGAGACCCCCCACACUGGUACUGAGACACGGACCAGACUCCUACGGGAGGCAGCAGUGAGGAAUAUUGGACAAUGGGCGCAAGCCUGAUCCAGCCAUGCCGCGUGCAGGAAGACGGCCCUAUGGGUUGUAAACUGCUUUUUAUACGGGAAGAAACACCCCUUCGUGAAGGGACUUGACGGUACCGUAUGAAUAAGGAUCGGCUAACUCUGUGCCAGCAGCCGCGGUAAUACGGAGGA
rnacentral:rRNA from 1 species